GGCAGUUCUUGGGUGAUGCACUCCGGAAUCGGGCUCCUUCCUCUCUGGUUCCCGGCUCAUCACUGGAGAACCACU
rfam:Myotis lucifugus cont2.42877, whole genome shotgun sequence.